CCUACGGGAGGCUGCAGUUGGGAAUCUUUGGCAAUGGGGGAAACCCUGACCAAGCGACGCCGCGUGGAGGAUGAAGGAUCUAGGUCUGUAAACUCCUUUUGCCAGGAAAGACUUAGGACGGUACCUGGCGAAUAAGCCCCGGCUAACUACGUGCCAGCAGCCGCGGUAAUACGUAGGGGGCAAGCGUUGUCCGGAUUUACUGGGCGUAAAGGGCGCGUAGGCGGUCUGUUAAGUGUGAAGUGAAAUCUCCAGAGCUCAACUCGGAAAUUGCUUCG
rnacentral:rRNA from 1 species